rnacentral:rRNA from 1 species
UACGUAGGGGGCAAGCGUUGUCCGGAUUUAUUGGGCGUAAAGAGCGUGUAGGCGGCCAGGUAGGUCGGUUGUGAAAACUGGAGGCUUAACCUCCAGACGUCGACCGAAACCAUCUGGCUAGAGUCCGGAAGAGGAGAGUGGAAUUCCUGGUGUAGCGGUGAAAUGCGCAGAUAUCAGGAGGAACACCGGUGGCGAAGGCGGUUCUCUGGGCAUUACCUGACGCUGAGGAGCGAAAGUGUGGGGAGCGAACAGG